rnacentral:rRNA from 1 species
UGGCUCAGAACGAACGCUGGCGGCGUGCCUAACACAUGCAAGUCGAGCGCGAAUGGGAGCAAUCCCUAGUAGAGCGGCGAACGGGUGCGUAACACGUGGGUAAUCUGCCCUGGAGCCCGGGACAACCUGCCGGAAGGCUGGCUAAUACCGGAUAAGACCCCGAGGUCCUCGGACCUUGAGGUAGAAGGUGGCCUCUGCAUGCAAGCUAUCACUUCAGGAUGAGCCCGCGGCCCAUCAGCUAGUUGGCGAGGUAACGGCUCACCAAGGCAACGACGGGUAGCUGGUCUGAGAGGACGAUCAGCCACACUGGGACUGAGACACGGUCCAGACUCCUACGGGAGGCAGCAGUGGGGAAUUUUGCACAAUGGGCGAAAGCCUGAUGCAGCAACGCCGCGUGUGUGAUGAAGGUUUUCGGAUUGUAAAGCACUUUCGACCGGGAAGAAACACCCUUGGCUAACAUCCAGGGGCCUGACGGUACCGGGAGAAGAAGCGCCGGCUAACUCUGUGCCAGCAACCGCGGUAAUACAGAGGGUGCAAGCGUUGUUCGGAAUUAUUGGGCGUAAAGCGCGUGUAGGCGGCAUGGUAAGUCGGGUGUGAAAGCCCUCAGCUCAACUGAGGAAGUGCGCCCGAAACUGCUUUGCUUGAGUGUCGGAGAGGGUCGUGGAAUUCCCCAAGUAGAGGUGAAAUUCGUAGAUAUGGGGAGGAACACCGGUGGCGAANNCGGCGACCUGGACGAUAACUGACGCUGANACGCGAAAGCGUGGGGAGCAAACAGGAUUAGAUACCCUGGNAGUCCACGCCGUAAACGAUGAGAACUNNUGUCGUGGGUGUUGACCCCCGCGGUGCCGUANCUAACGCAUUAAGUUCUCCGCCUGGGAGGUACGGCCGCA